UACGUAGGGUGCAAGCGUUAAUCGGAAUUACUGGGCGUAAAGCGUGCGCAGGCGGUUCUAUAAGACAGAUGUGAAAUCCCCCGGGCUCAACCUGGGAACUGCAUUUGUGACUGUAGAGCUGGAGUACGGCAGAGGGGGAUGGAAUUCCGCGUGUAGCAGUGAAAUGCGUAGAUAUGCGGAGGAACACCGAUGGCGAAGGCAAUCCCCUGGGCCUGUACUGACGCUCAUGCACGAAAGCGUGGGGAGCGAAACAAGG
rnacentral:rRNA from 1 species